CCCUUAGAUGUUCUGGGCCGCACGCGCGCUACACUGAUGCAUUCAACGAGUUUUUCCUGGUCCGAGAGGAAUGGGUAACCUUUUGAAAGUGCAUCGUGCUAGGGAUAGACUAUUGCAAUUAUUGGUCUUCAACGAGGAAUUCCUAGUAGACGUAGUUCAUCAGACUGCAUCGAUUACGUCCCUGCCCUUUGUACACACCGCCCGUCGCUCCUACCGAUUGGAUGAUCCGGUGAGCUAUUCGGACUUUCAUCAUGCUGGUUUCCAGUUUUGAUGAAGGAAAGUCUUGCGAACCUUAUCAUUUAGAGGAAGGAGAAGUCGUAACA
rnacentral:rRNA from 1 species